CUGGUCGAACUGGCCGUGGUUGUUCUGGACGUAGGACUCUGGAGGCGUCGCUUCUUCGUCGGUCUUAUAUGCUGCGGGUUCUAUGCAUCGGCCUCGUGGAUCUUCUGCUGACGGUUCCAACUUCUAUGCGUAGGCCUGCUAUCUUGUUUUGUGUGGACUCCUGGUCGCUCUACUGCUGGUUCGUUGGCCGAUGUAUCUGUUGCUUCUGUUUCUUUAUUGAGUUUGCCUCCAGAUUAAGCGCGGCGACGCUGGCAAGAAAUUUGGCGUGGAAAGCGACCAGUUGGUUCCUUUCGUGGUAGUUCGCCUCCUGAUUUGACCGGCUGUGAGGCAACUACUAUGCAUAUGGAUCAAGAUGAGCAAUCCAUGGUUCUACACUUAUCGAGGAAACCCAUCCCCAACGGUACGUACCUUCGAAGAAGGCGCCGACCAAGCCACCCUUCAACGUCUACGACUGUAACAGUUCAUGACGCUCAACACGAUGUCCAGGAGUUGGUCGGCGGUGUAAGAUUGGGCGCACAAGAACGACGGGGCUGUUUGGUUUCUAGCCACAUCUUGCCACACUUUGCCACACCUCACCUUAGGCAAAUUUGACCAAGUUAGGUGUGUGUUUGGUUCUAGCCACACCUAAGGCAAGAUUUUUUUUAUGAGAAGUGAACCCCACGUGUCAUAGGCACAAAAAGUGUGGCAAGAUUCCCUUAGGCAAGCCAAAGUGUGGCAAACAAUUUAAGCAACUCAAGUUAGGCAAGUGUGGCAAAAAUAAUGUGGCAAUAUAUGGCAAGCAUAGUCACAAUCCAAACAGCCCCGACAUCUCCCAAGUAACCAAGCAACAGGCUAUCGCCCUCCAAAGAGAAAGAACAAGGCGCACAAGAGUUCUGCGGAAAAUUUGUCUGCAAUUCUUCAACGUUUUGCCACUCGGCCACCAUCUAGGAAAUAUCACCAAACGGAACCAGCCUCCAAACUACGUCACGAUGAAGUUUUCACAUGUAGUUCGACCUACUAUCUUGUCUUGUGUCCUAAAGAUGUAUUACUCCUGCCGGCAAAAACUCUCUAUAAAAAUAUCAACAAAAACAUAACACUCACCUACAGAUCACCACACACUGAUCCAUGUUGGCAUCAUGUUAAACUCUACUAUUAUCAAAAUAUCUACUCGCACAAAACUCAAGAGAACACCACACGCACAGAUCGACAUGGCACGGCGGGCUGCCGCGCACUACCUGCUAGAUGUACGCUUUCACAAAAGCGCGCAAAUACAGCAGAAGUAGUGCACUUAGAACAAGAAAAGCAAACCAAAACAGUGAGGAAAACAACC